GACAGAGGAUGCAAGUGUUAUCCGGAAUCACUGGGCGUAAAGCGUCUGUAGGUGGUUUAAUAAGUCAACUGUUAAAUCUUGAGGCUCAACUUCAAAAUCGCAGUCGAAACUAUUAGACUAGAGUAUAGUAGGGGUAAAGGGAAUUUCCAGUGGAGCGGUGAAAUGCGUAGAGAUUGGAAAGAACACCAACGGCGAAAGCACUCUGCUGGGCCGACACUGACACUGAGAGACGAAAGCUAGGGGAGCGAAUGGG
rnacentral:rRNA from 1 species